UGCGAAGCUAUCAGUCUGUCAACUUCUUGAGCAUCUUGCAGAGCAUCUGAAUAGCGAUCCUCUACAACAGCAUUGAGAUUGAAACAACUUGGAAUCUGUGGUGCAACCUGUCAACCCGUUGUAAUGGCAACCGUGGCUUCACAGCGGUCAACAGAGCUGUGUUAGGAGAGAGGGAGUCAAGCCUUCUUGCUGCCCACGCAAAGCCUGGUAAGGUCUCUAGAGACGUCCCAUGGUGCAGCAAGAACUAGUUUCAAGAAGUCUUCUGCCACUGCAGCUAGAAGAAACCAAGCCUGUAUCCCUGCCGGCACUUCGUAUUGAUGGAGCCCAACCUCACAACUGAAGGCACAUUUAUUCCACCCCCACCUCCUCCUCAGCUGAAGAAGAACGGAACGGGAUUGCUCAGAGAAGAUUUUCCUUUGUGGGAACAGUCUCGGAGAAUGCGAGAUAGAGAAUAUAAUGAGCUGAGAAGUGGCACGUUAAAGAAGAUACGUGAAUGUGAUUGAGAAAUACAAUUAACACGAAAGAAACCGGUGUAUGGGUAUGGAUUGAAUUACAUAACAGCAAAUUUGUGUUUGAUUCUGACUGUAUUCUUACGCUAUAUGAAUACACAAUAGUCUUUCCGGUAAGAGUAUAGUAAGAGUGAAGACGUUAGGACGAUAAUUAGUGACAGUUUGCUAGCAGAAACGACGGAAAAUUUGAAUUGCUUAUUAGAAAAUUCUGAAGCUAUAAAUUGGAAAGUUAAGUAAAUAAUUUAGCUGCAUCAGCUUGAGGGGUAAAUUUUAAUAAAUUUAAAUAGGGAGGGCUGCACGAGAAGCAUGUAGUGGCAACUUGGAACUUGGGAAACAUCUCAGCAUUUGCUUGAAGACAGAGAAAAACUAAGUAAACGUGUGCCGAGAUGACCGGUCUCAGGACCUUCCGGAUACACACUGACUACUAGCCAGCUGUCCGGCAGACAAAAGGAAAUAUAUAGACGAUCCCUAAAUUUCCCUAACUUGUAACGUCGACUUUAUUGAUAAUCUUAAUUUAAAACCAAAGCUCAUCGAAAUAACAUGCAAGAAUUAAGUCCGUACCGCAAAGAAAACCAUACUUUAUCAUUACAAGGAUCAAAGGUUAAUUGUUGUUCAGCCUGAGAAGGUUAUGAAACUCAGCAUUACUGGCCGUUAAAGCAGGUGGUAUAUAUACUUACCAUUGAAUUUUAAAGGGUUUAAAUUACACUUUUUAAUAUAACCUAGUAUUGACAGAUGUUGGCCUA